AUGUUGAGUUGCGGGAACAAUGAAAAUGGUGAAGGGUUGGAGGUGGUUACUCUUCUAUGUGGAGUUGUAGGAGAGGGCACUCUUCAAUUGUUUGGGAAAAUUCCUCUUGUACAUGUUGAUGAUGUUUGUGAAGCUCAUAUAUUCUGCAUGGAAAGUAGCUCAAUCAAUGGAAGAUUCUUGUGUGCUAGUUCUUAUGUUUCGUUAAAAGAGAUUGCUAAUCAUUAUGUUCUCCGUUAUCCAGAAUUCAGUGUUAAUCAAGAGUAA